UACGGGGGGGGCCAGCGUUGUUCGGAAUUACUGGGCGUAAAGGGCGUGUAGGCGGCCUUCUAAGUCGGACGUGAAAUCCCUCGGCUCAACCGGGGAACUGCGUCUGAUACUGGAAGGCUGGAAUCCGGGAGAGGGAUGCGGAAUUCCAGGUGUAGCGGUGAAAUGCGUAGAUAUCUGGAGGAACACCGGUGGCGAAGGCGGCAUCCUGGACCGGUAUUGACGCUAAAGCGCGAAAGCCAGGGGAGCAAACGGG
rnacentral:rRNA from 1 species